UAGGGAAUCUUCGGCAAUGGGGGGAACCCUGACCGAGCAACGCCGCGUGAGUGAAGAAGGUUUUCGGAUCGUAAAGCUCUGUUGUUAAGGAAGAACGAGUGUGAGAAUGGAAAGUUCAUACUGUGACGGUACUUAACCAGAAAGGGACGGCUAACUACGUGCCAGCAGCCGCGGUAAUACGUAGGUCCCGAGCGUUGUCCGGAUUUAUUGGGCGUAAAGCGAGCGCAGGCGGUUAGAUAAGUCUGAAGUUAAAGGCAGUGGCUCAACCAUUGUAGGCUUUGGAAACUGUUUAACUUGAGUGCAGAAGGGGGGAGUGGAAUUCCAUGUGUAGCGGUGAAAUGCGUAGAUAUAUGGAGGAACACCGGUGGCGAAAGCAGCUCUCUGGUCUGUAACUGACGCUGAGGCUCGAAAGCGUGGGGAGCGAACAGG
rnacentral:rRNA from 1 species